UACGUAGGGUCCGAGCGUUGUCCGGAAUUAUUGGGCGUAAAGGGCUCGUAGGCGGUUCGUCACGUCGGGAGUGAAAACUCGGAGCUUAACUCCGAGCCUGCUUCCGAUACGGGCAGACUAGAGGUAGGCAGGGGAGAGCGGAACUCCUGGUGUAGCGGUGGAAUGCGCAGAUAUCAGGAGGAACACCGGUGGCGAAGGCGGUUCUCUGGGACGGUACUGACGCUGAGAAGCGAAAGCAUGGGGAGCGAACAGG
rnacentral:rRNA from 1 species